rnacentral:rRNA from 1 species
GAUGAACGCUGGCGGCGUGCUUAACACAUGCAAGUCGAGCGAAGCAGUUAAGUUGAUUUCUUCGGAUUGAUUCUUGACUGACUGAGCGGCGGACGGGUGAGUAACGCGUGGGUGACCUGCCCCAUACCGGGGGAUAACAGCUGGAAACGGCUGCUAAUACCGCAUAAGCGCACAGAGCUGCAUGGCUCGGUGUGAAAAACUCCGGUGGUAUGGGAUGGACCCGCGUCUGAUUAGGCAGUUGGCGGGGUAACGGCCCACCAAACCGACGAUCAGUAGCCGGCCUGAGAGGGCGACCGGCCACAUUGGGACUGAGACACGGCCCAAACUCCUACGGGAGGCAGCAGUGGGGAAUAUUGCACAAUGGGGGAAACCCUGAUGCAGCGACGCCGCGUGAGCGAAGAAGUAUUUCGGUAUGUAAAGCUCUAUCAGCAGGGAAGAUAAUGACGGUAC